UACAGAGGGUGCGAGCGUUAAUCGGAAUUACUGGGCGUAAAACGUGCGUAGACGGUUAUUUAAGUCGGGUGUGAAAGCCCCGGGCUCAACCUGGGGAAUUGCAUUCGAGACUGAAUAGCUAGGGGUACGGUAGAGGGAAGUGGAAAUUCCUGGUGUAGCGGUGAAAUGCGCAGAUAUCAGGAAGAACACCCGUGGCGAAGGCGGUUCUCUGGGGACGGUACUGACGCUGAGACGCGAAAGCGUGGGGGAGC
rnacentral:rRNA from 1 species